rnacentral:rRNA from 1 species
GAUGAACGCUGGCGGCGUGCCUAACACAUGCAAGUCGAGCGAUCUCUUCGGAGAGAGCGGCGGACGGGUGAGUAACGCGUGGGUAACCUGCCCUGUACACACGGAUACCAUACCGAAAGGUAUACUAAUACGGGAUAACAUACGAAAGUCGCAUGGCUUUUGUAUCAAAGCUCCGGCGGUACAGGAUGGACCCGCGUCUGAUUAGCUAGUUGGUAAGGUAAUGGCUUACCAAGGCAACGAUCAGUAGCCGACCUGAGAGGGUGAUCGGCCACACUGGAACUGAGACACGGGCCAGACUCCUACGGGGGGCAGCAGUGGGGAAUAUUGCACAAUGGGCGAAAGCCUGAUGCAGCAACGCCGCGUGAGCGAUGAAGGCCUUCGGGUCGUAAAGCUCUGUCCUCAAGGAAGAUAAUGACGGUACUUGAGGAGGAAGCCCCGGCUAACUACGUGCCAGCCGCCGCGGUAAUAC